rnacentral:rRNA from 1 species
CACGUAGGGUGCGAGCGUUGUCCGGAAUUAUUGGGCGUAAAGAGCUCGUAGGCGGCUUGUCGCGUCGUCCGUGAAAACCCACAGCUCAACUGUGGGCUUGCGGUCGAUACGGGCAGGCUAGAGUUCGGUAGGGGAGACUGGAAUUCCUGGUGUAGCGGUGAAAUGCGCAGAUAUCAGGAGGAACACCGGUGGCGAAGGCGGGUCUCUGGGCCGAUACUGACGCUGAGGAGCGAAAGCGUGGGGAGCAAACAGG